CAGUCGCCACGGGAAUACGAGGGGGGCAAGCGUUGUUCGGAAUUAUUGGGCGUAAAGGGCGCGUAGGCGGUUUGGCAAGUUUGGUGUGAAAUCUUCGGGCUCAACUCGAAGUCUGCAUCGAAAACUGCCGGGCUUGAGUAUGGGAGAGGUGAGUGGAAUUUCCGGUGUAGCGGUAAAAUGCGUAGAUAUCGGAAGGAACACCUGUGGCGAAAGCGGCUCACUGGACCAUUACUGACGCUGAGGCGCGAAAGCUAGGGGAGCAAACAGGAUUAGAUACCCGCGUAGUCCCUGUCUCUUAUAC
rnacentral:rRNA from 1 species